rnacentral:rRNA from 1 species
GACGUAGGGCGCGAGCGUUGUCCGGAUUUAUUGGGCGUAAAGAGCUCGUAGGCGGCUUGUCGCGUCGAAUGUGAAAUCUCAGGGCUCAACUCUGACAUUGCAUUCGAUACUGCUAUGGCUUGAGUCCGGUAGGGGCGCAUGGAAUACCCGGUGUAGCGGUGAAAUGCUUAGAUAUCGGGUGGAACACCAGUGGCGAAGGCGGUGCGCUGGGCCGGAACUGACGCUGAGGAGCGAAAGCGUGGGUAGCAAACAGG